ensembl:lncRNA
UUGAAACCCUUGUCUGUUGAAUCCUGUGGACUUCCUAACCCUAUGGACUUCCUAUACACUCCCAGCUCCAAAACAACCAAAUGCCCAACCUCUGACAUUAUUACCCCCCUAGUCCUACUUCUAGUGUCAUUGGCCUUCAUUUUCCCUUUUGACAAAGUCCUUCCUCCACCCAUGCCUUCCUGUCAUCGAUGACUGCCUUGUCUCCUUGAGUAGAAAGGUACUUGAGCAGAGAAAGAAGGCAGAGGAAGAGGAAGCGAGAUGGAGUGAGAGGCAGAAGCAGAGAGAGAAGAAGCUUGCGAAGGUGGUUUCGAAGCGCGCCCAGGCCAACGACACCCACGUGCCCCUCUCUCAGACCAACCAGUCCAAGCUCAAGCAGUUCAGGUAUCCAUAGAAACCCAUAACAUUACAAUAAUACUUGUAGCAACCAAGAAACUCACCCUACCUGAGACCAGUACUAACACCCACUCCACAGCCCGCCCCACAUUUUCAUAUGGAAGUAGUGAAUGGAAUUGCAAACCUAAAGUGUUAAUUUAACACUAUUAAAAAGACUGAACCGAACAUUGCCUCAAUAGUCUCAAUUGUGACUCUUUUUCUAGUAUAUUGAAGAAUAUGGAUGGAUCUCUUCAUUGUUUUUAUAAGACAUUAAAAACAUACUUAUGUGUGGAUACCCUUUUGUUCCUUAUCCCAAUUUCAGUUUCAAGUAAUUGUUUCGGAAUGAUUUCCAUAUCAGUAACAGUAAGCUGCGGUUGUAAAAGUGAUGUUUUUGUUGAAUAGGUCAGGGUUGAGGGUUAUUUGAGGGUUGUGGGAUCACAGGGGUGAGAGGUUGUCUGUGUUUCAAACAGAAAGCAGGACUUUCAGCGCAGGAAGGAGUACAAGGAAGAGAUGAGGGAGAUCCAGGAGAGAGUGAAGGGGAGGCCUCUGCUGUUGGAGCAGGUCGCACAGAUGAAUGCCAAACAUGCUGCAGAGAAGCACUACACAGACACCCUGCGAGGCUGUGGAGUGAGCGAGGACUUUGUCAGUGGCAAGGUGCCCAAGUCCCAGCGGCCAGGUGGGCAAGACUCUGCAUGCAGGACCUCCUUCUCCAGUGACUCCAAACAAAGUGACAAGGAUGAGACAGAUACACCAGCUAUUUACAACACGGUCUUCCAGGAUGACUACCCAGACAAUUAUGAAGACAGCUUUGCUGACCAAGAACUGGAAGGAGAGCAGGAGGCUGAGAAAGAUGAAUUAAAGUCCAUGAAAGAGGAGGAUGAAGGCCAUGACGAAGUAGGGCGGGAGAGGGAGGACAUUGGGCGUUAUUCAGAUGAUUGUGAUUAUUCAGAUGACCAUUACUCAGAUGAUGAUGACCAUUACUCAGAUGCUAGUGAGCAUUACUUGCCCCUGGACGAUGAAAAGAAUGAAGGGAGUGACAUCAUCAAAAGGCCCAAGAGUACAGAGAGCAGCCCAAGCUAUAGAAGCGGCCAGUACAGCCGAAACAGUCAGAAGUCAGAGAGUGAUAGGGAAAACACCGCAAUAGCAGACAAGAAAAAUGAGGAGGAUGACUGAAAAGUCAAAGGAGUGCAUUUUCUCACACGUAGGCGGACUACAUUGUGCGCAAACGUCUACAACACUGACACACAGUGGUAGAGAUGCUUCUACUAUAAAAUAGGCUAAAUGUAUGGUAGGAUAUCUGUCUAUGUAUGUGUGUGUGUGUGUGUAUAUAUAUAUAUAUAUAUAUAUCUAUGUAUAUAUACAUAUAUAUAUGUAUGUAUGUGUG